GGCCGUCUAGCUCAGUUGGUUAGAGCGUCGUGCUAAUACGGGCAUAAAGCCUCGGAUACGCGAAGGUCUUGGGUUCGAUCCCCACGAUGGCCA